AGCGAACGCUGGCGGCAUGCCUAACACAUGCAAGUCGAACGAACCCUUCGGGGCUAGUGGCGGACGGGUGCGUAACACGUGGGAACGUGCCCUUAGGUUCGGAAUAACUCACGGAAACGUGUGCUAAUACCGAAUGUGCCCUUCGGGGGAAAGAUUAAUCGCCUUUAGAUCGGCCCGCGUCUGAUUAGCUAGUUGGUUGAGGUAAUGGCUCACCAAGGCGACGAUCAUUAGCUGGUCUGAGAGGAUGAUCAGCCACAUUGGGACUGAGACACGGCCCAAACUCCUACGGGAGGCAGCAGUGGGGAAUCUUGCGCAAUGGGCAAAAGCCUGACCCAGCAAUGCCGCGUGAGUGAUGAAGGUCUUAGGGUUGUAAAAUUCUUUCACCGGGGACGAUAAUGACGGUACCCGGAGAAGAAGCCCCGGCUAACUUCGUG
rnacentral:rRNA from 1 species